AAAAAAAAAAAAAAAGAAUUUUUGGUAAGCUAAUUGCUACUCAAAUAUCAAUUUAGAAGUUUCAUCAAUGUCUAUAUAGGCACCAAUUAGUGGCAUUUCACGUUGCAUCUGAGACCAAUAGAGGUUAGCACACUUCAGAAGCAAUAAGGAUUAAGGUGGCGCCCCCCUUUUCUGCUAAUUGGAUUAAACUAACACAUUUGGCGUAUUAACCAUUAUAAUGUGUGUGUUUGACUCAUUAUCUAAUUACAAAAAUAUUUGUUUAUUGAUAUUAUUAUUUUGCAAAUAAUUAUGCAGGCAUAGAAAUGAGCAGAAUUUGCUUGUACUAUGGAAACAAGCAAAUAUUGACCUCUAACUUUAUAAGAUUCAUUCGAUUUGGCAAUUACUUAACAAGAUACCUAUCCCUUAGACAGCACAUUAGCCGCAUAGCUGCCGAGACUAUGGAACACCAUAUGUUAGUUCAGUCAGGUUUUACUAGGUGUCCUCAUCAAUUUUGUUUCUAUGAGAUAUUUAGUAUCGUAAAGCAAUUUAUUGGUUUACACAACUACAUACAAGCCGCUAGAAGAAAAAUUGUGAUUGGAGAAUAGUUGAGCACCUAGCCUCGUUGUCUUUUGCAGAAACCAAUUUAUGACAGCGAGCUUCUAAAAAUGCGUUGAAAAUUUAUAUUUGUCAUGAGAAACUGCUGAGUACUUCCAGCUGAAUUUGUUUUGCACGUCCACAUUCUUAUAUUUUUCUAAUGGUUCUUUGUCAUUUAAUGUUUGAUGAACAGGAAAUCCCGCAAAUGAUCUUGUAGGGAUCAUUAAUGAGAAUCGAACAGCCCAUAAACUUCCACAGCUUAAUGACAGCCCUGGCCUCGGCUGCAUGGCCCUGCAAUAUGUUGAAUUAUGCAAGGGUAACUGCACUGGUAACAGGGCUGUAAACUGCAAACCACCUGAGGAUGACUUCACUGAGGUUUUUGCUCCUAAUUGUGGUGUAGAACUACCCACUUUUGGCACCAUAACUGGCCACAUUGUAGGUUGUGAAUUCAAGUAUCUCCAACCAUCAGAAGCCUUUUCUCAUGUUAUUGUCAAAGACAAUAGAACUUUAUCCAUUCUGCGAAAUAAAUCACAUACAGAGGUGGGAGUAGGCUUGGUUGGGCUUCACAAGGGUCCUUUCUUUUGGUGUAUUUUAUUUAGCAAUGGCCAGACGAAUUCUACAUUUGUUCUUGAAGAUCAAGGUAAAGGGAUUAAGCAAAAGAAAGGGUGCUACAGCGGAAGCUUUUUUCCAUGCAGUGGUGGGCAGAAGAUCAGUGUGUUAUUGAAUAAUAUUAUGACCUUGGUUUUUCUAUAUAUUUUCCUCUUCCUAAUUUUGCACCAAAAUCAGUUUGUGAUGAUGUGAAUUUUGUGCAUGACUCUGCUCGAAGUUUUCUACCAUAUUGUAAAAGGUACAUUGUAUGAUGUGCAAUUUUUCCAACGUGUCUAUCCUUUGCGAUGUUUCAGUUUUCUAGUUUCUUGAUGAGUGUAGAAAAAAGUUGAAUUCAACCUAAAUUUAGAAUCUC
rnacentral:misc_RNA from 1 species